GCGCCCCCAGACUCCAGCCUCCAGCCCCGAGGCAGGAGGCAGGGAGCAGCAGCAGAGGCAGGAGGAGGACGAGGAGGAGGAGGAGGAGGAGCCGUCGCAGGAUGAAGGAUCGGACUCAGGAGCUGCGGAGUGCUAAAGACAGUGAUGAUGAAGAGGAGGUGGUCCACGUGGAUCGCGACCACUUCAUGGACGAGUUCUUUGAACAGGUGGAAGAGAUCCGGGGCUGCAUUGAGAAACUGUCAGAGGAUGUGGAGCAAGUGAAAAAACAGCACAGUGCCAUCCUGGCCGCCCCCAAUCCAGAUGAGAAGACCAAACAGGAGCUGGAGGACCUCACCGCAGACAUCAAGAAGACGGCCAACAAGGUUCGCUCCAAGUUGAAAGCAAUCGAACAAAGCAUUGAACAAGAGGAGGGGCUGAACCGUUCCUCGGCGGACCUGCGCAUCCGCAAGACCCAGCACUCCACACUCUCCCGGAAGUUCGUGGAAGUAAUGACCGAAUAUAACGCGACCCAGUCCAAGUACCGGGACCGCUGCAAGGACCGGAUCCAGCGGCAGCUGGAGAUCACUGGAAGGACCACCACGAACGAGGAACUGGAAGACAUGCUGGAGAGCGGGAAGUUGGCCAUCUUCACCGAUGAUAUCAAAAUGGACUCACAGAUGACGAAGCAGGCACUGAAUGAGAUUGAGACGAGGCACAAUGAGAUCAUCAAACUGGAAACCAGCAUCCGAGAGCUGCAUGACAUGUUUGUGGACAUGGCCAUGCUUGUGGAAAGCCAGGGUGAGAUGAUUGACCGCAUUGAGUACAACGUGGAACAUUCCGUGGACUAUGUGGAGCGAGCUGUGUCCGACACCAAGAAAGCUGUGAAAUACCAGAGCAAGGCCCGGAGGAAGAAAAUCAUGAUCAUCAUUUGCUGUGUGGUGCUGGGGGUGGUCUUGGCGUCAUCCAUUGGGGGGACGCUGGGCUUGUAGGCCCCCCCACCCCUGUCUCUCCCAGACCCUUCCCCCACCACAUUGGGAGCAAUACCCCCACAACCCCUUUCACUCCAUCCCCUGCUCCAGGCUCACCCCCAAGACAGACCCAGGCAGCCCCCCUUCCCCACUUCCUGUCAGACCCCAGAGUCCCCGGACCUCCCCCCCCACCCGCCACGGACCACCCCCGCACGUAGACAGCAGCAGGCGUGAUUAUACACGCACACCCACAUGCGUGCCGCCAGAACAUGCUCAAGACGUGUGGACACCCCAGCGUGUGUGUGUGUGUGCGUGCGUACAUGUGUGUAGAAACCCCAAACCCCCCUUCUGCCCCCCUCCCAGUCUAUGUGUCAUCUGAGCUUUCCCCCUUCACUUGGGUUGUUGUGUGUGGACUGUGGCCAGGUGUAACACAGCAACCCUGCUCUGUCUUCUGUGAACAGGGGUGUGUGUGUGUGUGUGUGUGUGUGUGUGUGUGUCAGAGACAGAGACAGGGAGACUAUGCACAUGUGGCCUUCCAGAACACAGUACCCCUCCGGCCCCCACCCCAGCUCACGUGGCUGGCCCCAUUCCUACUUAAGCUGUUCGAGCCCUGUGUGAGGCCCAUCUAUGUAACAGCCCCUAAGGUGGGCUCUGUUGUGGAGGGGAGCCUGCCCGUCCCUUCCAAGGGUGUCCUUCAGCAGGACGGGAAGUUUGCCCCAGUAUCUAAUUACAGCCCUCCUCCCAUCUCAGGCUUCUCUGGGGACAUCAGAACAGGCCCCAGCACCCCCACCCUUUUUCCUUCCUGCCUCUGGCGCCAGGACACCCUUGCAGCCCAGGUGUUUCCGGAAUUCCCACCGCCUUCGGGGCCACAAGCAGGAGGGCAGAGCCAUGUCUGGAGGGAUGCUGUGGCCUCCUGGAGUGGUAUUGGGCCCAUGGCUGCCCAUCUCUGGGCAGUUGGACUGGAGGUUCAUCAAGGGUCUGCUGGGUCCCAGCUUCUUCAAGUCCCGCACAUCGUGUGAGGGCAGCUUGUUGGCUGCUGUGUCUGUAUGGGUCCUGGAACGUCGUCUGGGGGCUGGUGUCUCAUGCAUGUUCUCGGACAAGUGUGUGCUGCUCCCCCUCCACGCGCCUACAGCCACCAAGCCCACGAGUGACCUGUGGGUGGUCCUGGGCCUGGCCGGGGCUCGCUGCUUCCCCUUCCCCCAAGCCCUGCCUCUCUCAAAGCACACUGCGUGUCCAUCCCAUGUGCCUGUGGGUCGAUGCACGCUCUUGCCACGCCUUGAGCGUGUGUACAUGAUGUGUUCUAUGCAUUCACCCUGUCCCCCAAGCCCGCCCCGCAGAGGACAUGAUGGGUGGCCCCCGGCUCCCUUCUCCCCCCACCCCGCCCCCUGCCCGCUGUGCAGCCGUGUGCGUUGGCGUGUGUUUCCUUGUCGCUGGCGUGUCACGUGAUGUAGCCGUGUUUGCUGACAUGAGCCCUUGCCCCUUCUGUUUCUCUGUUGGUUUCUAGAGCUCUUUCCCUCUCCUCCCAGGAGGGGACAGGACUCCUGGGGCCUGGCUGGGGGCCCAGAGCCAGGCCACCCUCUCCUGUUAGCCCUCAGAGUCCCAUUUCUCUCUAUUGGUGACCAAGUUGCAAAUGGAUAAAACACAGGAAAAUUCUGCCCCCCCCACCCCGCCCUGCAUGUCCUGUCCCCAGAGCCCCCCACCCCCACCCCGGGCUGGGUUGGGCCCUGUGGGACGGGAGAAAUAGCAACCAAUCCAACAGCGGG